rnacentral:rRNA from 1 species
UACGUAGGGUGCGAGCGUUAAUCGGAAUUACUGGGCGUAAAGCGUGCGCAGGCGGUUUUGUAAGCCAGAUGUGAAAUCCCCGGGCUUAACCUGGGAAUGGCAUUUGGGACUGCAAGGCUUGAGUGCGGCAGAGGAGACUGGAAUUCCCGGUGUAGCAGUGAAAUGCGUAGAUAUGCGGAGGAACACCGAUGGCGAAGGCAGUCCCCUGGGCCUGCACUGACGCUCAUGCACGAAAGCGUGGGGAGCAAACAGG